rnacentral:rRNA from 1 species
UACGUAGGAUGCGAGCGUUAUCCGGAUUUAUUGGGUUUAAAGGGUGCGUAGGCGGGCUUUUAAGUCAGCGGUAAAAAUUCGGGGCUCUACCCCGUCCGGCCGUUGAAACUGGGGGUCUUGAGUGGGCGAGAAGAAGGCGGAAUGCGUGGUGUAGCGGUGAAAUGCAUAGAUAUCACGCAGAACCCCGAUUGCGAAGGCAGCCUUCCGGCGUCCUACUGACGCUGAGGCACGAAAGUGCGGGGAUCGAACAGG